AUCGCUUCUCGGCCUUUUGGCUCAGAUCAAGUGUAGUUUCUGUUCUUAUCAGUUUAAUAUCUGAUAGUCCCUUACAUGGGGACCACAUAUUAAAUUGAUUUUUGGGACAGGGAGCUGGAUUAGGGGCUUGCUCCGUCCACUCCAAGCAUCAACCUGGUAUUGCAGUACAUCUGGGAAUGGUGCAUCCACU